ACCGCUCGAUGGACGACGUCUGACGGAGCACGCCGCGUGAGUGAUGAAGGUUUUCGGAUCGUAAAGCUCUGUUGUUAGGGAAGAACAAGUGCCGUUCAAAUAGGGCGGCACCUUGACGGUACCUAACCAGAAAGCCACGGCUAACUACGUGCCAGCAGCCGCGGUAAUACGUAGGUGGCAAGCGUUGUCCGGAAUUAUUGGGCGUAAAGGGCUCGCAGGCGGUUUCUUAAGUCUGAUGUGAAAGCCCCCGGCUCAACCGGGGAGGGUCAUUGGAAACUGGGGAACUUGAGUGCAGAAGAGGAGAGUGGAAUUCCACGUGUAGCGGUGAAAUGCGUAGAGAUGUGGAGGAACACCAGUGGCGAAGGCGACUCUCUGGUCUGUAACUGACGCUGAGGAGCGAAAGCGUGGGGAGCGAACAGGAUUAGAUACCCUGGUAGUCCACGCCGUAAACGAUGAGUGCUAAGUGUUAGGGGGUUUCCGCCCCUUAGUGCUGCAGCUAACGCAUUAAGCACUCCGCCUGGGGAGUACGGUCGCAAGACUGAAACUCAAAGGAAUUGACGGGGGCCCGCACAAGCGGUGGAGCAUGUGGUUUAAUUCGAAGCAACGCAAAAAACCUUACAAUGGCUUGACAUCCUCUGACAAUCCUAGAGAUAGGACGUCCCCUUCAGGGGCAUAUUGACAGGUGGUGCAUGGUUGUCGUCAGCUCGUGUCGUGAGAUGAUGAGGUAAAUCCCCGCAACGAGCGCACACCCUCUAAAACACCUCCAGGUCUAUGUGUGAACUCGUGGGGUACUCUUA
rnacentral:rRNA from 2 species